UACAUGGGGUGCAAACGUUGCUCGGAAUUAUUGGGCGUAAAGCGCACGUAGGCGGUUCGUUAAGUCGGAUGUGAAAGCCCUCGGCUCAACUGAGGAAGUGCACCCGAAACUGGCGAGCUUGAGUACGAAAGAGGAUCGCGGAAUUCCCGGUGUAGAGGUGAAAUUCGUAGAUAUCGGGAAGAACACCGGUGGCGAAGGCGGCGAGCUGGUCCGUAUCUGACGCUGAGGCGCGACAGCGUGGGGAGCAAACAGG
rnacentral:rRNA from 1 species